UAGUUGGUAAGGUAACGGCUUACCAAGGCGACGAUCAGUAGCCGACCUGAGAGGGUGAUCGGCCACAUUGGAACUGAGACACGGUCCAAACUCCUACGGGAGGCAGCAGUGGGGAAUAUUGCACAAUGGGCGAAAGCCUGAUGCAGCAACGCCGCGUGAGUGAUGAAGGCCUUCGGGUCGUAAAACUCUGUCCUCAAGGAAGAUAAUGACGGUACUUGAGGAGGAAGCCCCGGCUAACUACGUGCCAGCAGCCGCGGUAAUACGUAGGGGGCUAGCGUUAUCCGGAUUUACUGGGCGUAAAGGGUGCGUAGGCGGUCUUUCAAGUCAGGAGUGAAAGGCUACGGCUCAACCGUAGUAAGCUCUUGAAACUGGGAGACUUGAGUGCAGGAGAGGAGAGUGGAAUUCCUAGUGUA
rnacentral:rRNA from 1 species